rnacentral:rRNA from 1 species
UUGAUCAUGGCUAGGGAUGAACGCUAGCUACAGGCUUAACACAUGCAAGUCGCGGGGCAGCAUGGUCUUAGCUUGCUAAGACUGGUGGCGACCGGCGCACGGGUGCGUAACGCGUAUCCAACCUGCCCCUUACUCUGGAAUAGCCCGGCGAAAGUCGGAUUAAUGCCGGAUGUUGUCAGAUGAGGACAUCUGAGUUUGACCAAAGGCUUCUGCCGGUAAGGGAUGGGGAUGCGUACGAUUAGGUAGACGGCGGGGUAACGGCCCACCGUGCCAACGAUCGUUAGGGGUUCUGAGAGGAAGGUCCCCCACACUGGUACUGAGACACGGACCAGACUCCUACGGGAGGCAGCAGUGAGGAAUAUUGGUCAAUGGCCGAGAGGCUGAACCAGCCAAGUAGCGUGCAGGAAGACUGCCCUAUGGGUUGUAAACUGCUUUUAUGCGGGGAUAAAGUUCAGCACGUGUGCUGUUUUGUAGGUACCGCAUGAAUAAGGACCGGCUAAUUCCGUGCCAGCAGCCGCGGUAAUACGGAAGGUCCGGGCGUUAUCCGGAUUUAUUGGGUUUAAAGGGAGCGCAGGCGGGAGGUUAAGCGUGCCGUGAAAUGUACCGGCUCAACCGGUGAGUUGCGGCGCGAACUGGCUUUCUUGAGUGCGUACGAGGAACGCGGAAUUCGUGGUGUAGCGGUGAAAUGCUUAGAUAUCACGAAGGAACUCCGAUUGCGCAGGCAGCCCUUCAAGUCCGUACUGACGCUGAAGCUCGAAGGUGCGGUAUCGAACAGGAUUAGGAUACCCUGGUUAGGUCGGCAGAGUCGCACGUAAACGAUGAUGCCCGCUGUCGGCGAUACAAUGUCGGUGGCCAAGCGAAAGCGUUAAGCAUCCCCACCUGGGGAGUACGCCGGCAACGGUGAAACUCAAAGGAAUUGACGGGGGCCCGCACAAGCGGAGGAACAUGUGGUUUAAUUCGAUGAUACGCGAGGAACCUUACCCGGGCUUGAACUGCAGCAGACGGAUCUAGAGAUAGUGACUCCCUUCGGGGCUGCUGUGGAGGUGCUGCAUGGUUGUCGUCAGCUCGUGCCGUGAGGUGUCGGCUUAAGUGCCAUAACGAGCGCAACCCCUGCCUUCAGUUGCCAUCAGGUCAUGCUGGGCACUCUGUAGGGACUGCCACCGUAAGGUGUGAGGAAGGUGGGGAUGACGUCAAAUCAGCACGGCCCUUACGUCCGGGGCUACACACGUGUUACAAUGGGUGGUACAGAGAGUCGGGGGCAUGCAAAUGCCCUCCAAUCAUGAAAGCCAUCCUCAGUUCGGAUUGGGGUCUGCAACCCGACCCCAUGAAGCUGGAUUCGCUAGUAAUCGCGCAUCAGCCAUGGCGCGGUGAAUACGUUCCCGGGCCUUGUACACACCGCCCGUCAAGCCAUGAAAGCCUGGGGCGCCUGAAGUCCGUGACCGCGAGGGUCGGCCUAGGGUGAAACAGGUGAUUGGGGCUAAGUCGUAACAAGGUAGCCGUA